rnacentral:rRNA from 1 species
AGUGAACGCUGGCGGUAGGCCUAACACAUGCAAGUCGAACGGCAGCACAGUAAGAGUGUGCUCUUACGGGGGGCGAGUGGCGGGCGGAUGAGGAAAGUAUCCUAAUCUACUCUUUCGGGGGGGUUAACGAAGGUAAACUUAAUCCAAUACCGCAUAUCAUCUACCGGGGAAAGCAUGGGAUCUUUUGACCGUUCGGGAUUGAAUGAGCCGAUGUCGGAUUAGUUAGUUGGCGGGGUAAUGGCCUACCAAGGGGGGGAUCCGUAGCUGGUCUGAGAGGAUGGUCGGCGACACUGGAGCUGAGACACGGUCCAGGCUCCUACGGGAGGCAGCAGUGGGGAAUAUUGGACAAUAGUCGGGAGCAUGGUCCAGCCAGACCGCGUGGGUGGAGGAGGCGUUCCGGUUGUAAAGCCCUUUUGUUGGGAAAGAAAAGCAGCAGGUUAAUACGAAGCUGUUGUGACGGUACCCGAAGAAUAAGCACCGGCUAACUUCGUG